GUGGCCCUGAAAAUCAGAUAUUCCCCCCUUCCUGAGAGUUAGUUUUAUUUUUAUUAUUGAAGAUUGUAGCAGUCUAUUGCUACAUGUGCAGUCAUUUCCAAACUAUUUUUGCAAAGACUGUAUUCCUUCUGUGUGUCAUCACUGAAGUCUCUGUUCCUUAGUUUGUGUUUAAUAGUUUGACAUAGAUUUCCUUGAAAGGAGUUAAAACUAGCAGAAAAAUCUCUCUCCCAGUCUUUCCAGUCUUUGUAGAUUGGUUCUGUGCUGGGCUUUUCCAUUAAUACUUAGCCAGGCUUGUACUGAGCCUAACAAUCAGGCCCAAAAGCGUAGGGUCUUUGCAGAUCUUGUCUGAGCAUGCUUCUUGCUGUGUAUGCACGUAGUUUUCUAAAUCUCCCUGUAUGUGCUGUUGAAUAUUCUAAUUUCCCAAAGAAACUCCUUUGCAGCUUUUUCUCACAGAACAUAGAUGGUUUUUUGGAUAUCUUGACCAUAGUCUUUCGACCCAGGUGUUUGCGGUUGUUAGUUCACCUUACACUUUUUUCAAGCAUUGCCUACUGCUUACGAUGAGUGCUCUGUCAAUCCUUUAAGUAGCCCCAGACAGGCUACCAGAGACUUAAACAAGAAUUUGUAAGUUCUGCUCAGCUUCCUCUAGAAAUGGGGAUCAGGGUCCAAGACAGAAUGCAGUUGCUGAUUUCAAGACUGCUGCAACACCAGGGAGCUUGUGGGGGAAGGGCAAGCAGAAAUGUCACAAAGCUUUCUUGCCAUUUUAAAGUUGCCUGUUCUUGACUCAGCAUUUGCUUCAUUGCUAUAAACUUUUUACUGUUUUUCAGAGUUCUGAUAAAAUUGGCUAUGCCUGUUCCUGCUUUAAAAAAUAUAUAUAUAUUUUUUAGGGAUUGGGGUCUCACUAUACUGACCAGGCUGGUCUUGAACUUCUGGCCUCAAGCCAUCCUCUCAUUUCAGCUUCCCAAAGUGCUGCAAUUACACGCGUGAACCACCACACCCAGCCCCUGCUUGUUUUUCAAUGUGCCUACUCCACCAUGUUGCUCAAGUAUGUAUAUUUUCUAAACUACCUUGUAGUGUUGUGAUGGGAAAUAAAUCCCUGAGCCUUUUGAAUAACUCAGAGAGAUCAAAAACUUAGUUUAUCCUAUUCGAAGGAUUAGAAAAAUGAUAUAUCUUUCACUUUUUCAGGGAUAGGCUCCUCAUUAGAAGGCUCCUAUGUGCCGAUGCUGUACAAGACAUUUCAUUUCUCUUAAUGUUUACAACAAGCUUGUUGCCAAGGCUGAUCUUGAACUCCUGGCCUCAAACGAUCCUCCCAGCUCAGUCUCACAAAGUGUUGGGAUGUCUGGCCAACUAAUGACUAUCUUAACUCUUGUGUUUCAAUGUUUAUGCCUUCUUUUAUCUUGACUGAUUGUAUGACUAUGUCUUCUAGAACAAUGUUGAACAGAAAUGGUGAGAGCAGACAUCCUUGCUUUAAUAUUUCACCAUUAUAUAUGAUGUUAGGUAUAGAUUUUUCUCACAGAUGCCUUUUAUCAGAUUGAGGAAUUUAUAUUCCUACUUUGCCGAAAGGUUUUUGUAGUAUGAGGGGGUGCUGAAUUUUGUCAAACACUUUUUCGGUAAUAAUUGAGAUGAUUGGUUCUGCAGUCAUCGAGAUGUGGAUUUUCUCCUUUAUUCUGUUCGUGAGUGAUUACACUGGUUGACUAAUGUUAAAACAACCUUACUUUCCAGGAAUAAACCCUAUUAUCUUUUUUAUACA
ensembl:lncRNA novel transcript, antisense to C2orf3